CGCCCACUUCCGCCCGCCGAGCGGCCCGGUUGCCGUGACAACGCGGCGCCGGCUCGGGCCGCCGGGAGUAGAGCGCUGCUCUGCCGGGCCCGGGGCAGCCCGUCCGUGCCGGCACCGACCGCUCGGAAGGCCGUUCUCCAGCUGUGCCGGGAUCUCUGCGGACGGAGGCACCGAGGAGCAGCGUAACCGCUCCUUCUCGCAGAGAGACGAUCGGGCAGUGUAACACAAAACGUGCAAAACAUAGAACGGCUCGAUUCUACUCGAUUUGAGCUUCAGCACUUUACGCUUUUGGCACUGCCCCUGCAGCCUGGAGCAAAGUGUAUUUUUAGUGACACCUCUAAGAGACCUUUCAGCAUUAAUCGUCACAGAAAUGACGUCUGAUGCAGCAGAUCGAGAUUCCUGCAAUUCCUGCAGGAAAACUGGAGUUUGUGUAGCAGCAGCAAGCCCCAGCAUUCUCUGAGCAGAAGCUAGAGACAUUUGCUUGCCAAGAGCAACGGCAAGAUGUUGUCAGCAGCAGCAGUUCUGGGGAAAGGAGGAGCACAAGGACCGUUUCCAGUCUGGGUCAUCUCAUACUACUCAGUGCAGUUUACUUUUGAGCAGAACACAAACACCUUCACUGCCCCAAAAGCACAGAGCCUGUUUGUUCCCUGCUCACACCAGUGUGAAUUGGCAAUGACCCCACUGCAGCCUAUAGAAUCACAUCAAUGUAAAGGUGAUGUCAGAGAGAUAGCAAUCAAAGCCCUUGUUCCAAAGUUAAUU
rnacentral:lncRNA from 1 species